AGGCUGCAACUCGCCUGCAUGAAGUUGGAAUUGCUAGUAAUCGCGAGUCAGAAUGUCGCGGUGAAUACGUUCCCGGGCCUUGUGCACACCGCCCGUCACACCAUGAGAGUCGAUAACACCCGAAGCCUGUGAGCUAACCUUUUAGGAGGCAGCAGUCGAAGGUGGGGUUGAUGAUUGGGGUGAAGUCGUAACAAGGUACC
rnacentral:rRNA from 1 species